GUUCAUAUUCGGGUCCCACGCCUCCAGUUUUUCAGGAAGAGUCCGGGCCCGGCGUUGAACUGCAUCCUUGAACCAUCCGGUUGACUCCAUCGUGGGUAUUGUUCGACGAUGUGAACAAAUUCGAGCCUACCGUGGUCGUGUGGUUAUCGCGCAGAUAAGCACGGCAAAGUGAGAGUCGUUCCGACCAGAACAGACAGCUACAGUUAAUAUAAACUGGAAACUUUAUUGAGAGAACAAUUUUCCUUAAUCGUUCUCCGAAGGCGGAAUGCAGUGGCAACAUAAUCUUUAGUUCCUUGGUAUCAGUCUUUAGUUCUUACACAAACACUGGGAUAUUUCGAGUUUAGUAAUCCUGUGGAUGGUCCUUCCGUUGUAAUGACCCGUCGAGCGAAGACUUCAGGCUUCGAGGCUCCAAAGAUCGUUACUACAAUCGCUUUGGCAGUGGUAGAGAUCCGUCGUGCGAAGGCUGCGAUGGGUCUACGAAUCUACGUAAGAUGUUAGCUGAUCGUCUGUUAGACGACUUCCGGAGACGUCUAGCCUCUUUGGAGACUAUCGAGCGACUCCCUUGCGGAGAUCGGUCAAUGAGUUGGUGGCCGACGACGACGAACUCUGUGUCCUCUUCCGUCAAAUUCUAGCGACCAACUUUCUCCUCUCGGAGAAAGAUGAUUCUCUCAUUAUAUUCUUUGUUUCCUUUCUUCCCACGCCAUCUGGUGUCACUCGAUUCUUUUCCCGUCAAAACUUUUACCUAUUUAUUUUUCUUUACUAAAUCGAAGAGGACAAGGUUCUCCGAGCUGGGUUUUAAGAUAAAAAAAUCUGUCGCUUGUUCUUCUUUCUUGGGUGCCAUUCCGAUUAAAUUCUUUUUUUUUU
rnacentral:lncRNA from 1 species